rnacentral:tRNA from 1 species
GGCCGAGUGGCGGAAUGGCAGACGCGGCGGAUUCAAAAUCCGCUGUCCGCAAGGGCGUGCCGGUUCGAGUCCGGCCUCGGCUA